UCCAUGUCUAGUUAAGUUGAGAAUCAAGAAUAACCACCAAAAGUGUAUUUUGCUUUCUGUGGUUUGUUUAUCUUCUGUAAAAUAAGGGUUUGUGUACAUUCCUACAGAGCUUUUAUUUACUCUUCUAGGGGUUUUACGCUGAUUCCUGCCACUAACAUGAUCCAGGAGAGGUGUUUUCCUUACCCUGUCAGGGGUCUCAGUGUUCACAACAUGGAGGUCAGGGGGUAAGAAGCAGAGCCAGGCAGGAUCCUUUGAAAGUGACAGUCUUUUUUCCUGCCUUUAAUUCAUCCAGACUCACAGUCUCCAGGAUGGCUCCACCAACUUUCAUUAGAGGUCUCUCCCCUCCUCCCUCAGAUAAUCUUCCUUGGAAACACUCUUCCAGAUUUCCAGAAUGAUGUGCUAUGAGAUGAUCCUAAGUGCUGCUCAAUUCCGUCAUGCUUACUGCCAAGUUUCAACUUCUUAAUACCUCAUAAUUUUCAUCCUCCACUGGAUGAUGAAAUAACAGCAGUGUUUCCGGAAGCCACAGAAGUCAGUUUGUGGAAACAGGGAGAAGAUGGCACCUAUCACUUUGGAGGAUGGACUCACCUUGACAAUUACUGCUAAAGAGAACAAGUGGAAAGGAUGAAGCACGACUGUUAAUGGAAACCAGGAAAAUUGGCAAAUCAACAUAUUAAGAGUCAGUAAUGGACGACUAGACAUGUAAGCCAUUGGCCACAUGAAGUCAGUAGAUAAAAAUGUAUGAGAAUUACCUAGCUUCAUGAAUACCAUAUAAACAAUAUUACAAAGUAAUUCUACCAUACUCUCUAUGAAUGAUCCCCUUACUAAAUAGAGGUCUAAACACUGGCAUGGAAGCUGUGAAAGAUUUGAGGGUAGAAAAAGAAAUAUCUUUAGUUGACAUGGGGACUGGGAAUGGUGUUCCUGGAAGGUAGACCUUUAAGAGAGAUUGGAUAGACUGACGAAAAGUUUUUAUGCAGCCUACAACAGUCCACUGUAUUAAAUCUUCCCUUUUGAGAAUGUCACAAAACUUGUAUAGUACAGAAAAAUAGCCAGAUCUAGGCAAAACUGUCCACCUGGUGUGAAUUGUGUAACCCACUUUUCAAAUCUGAGCAGUGUCCUUCUGUAAAGUCAUCUGAAAAAAAAUAACCUGAUAGAUUCUCCUUUCUGCAGUAGCAGGAUCCUACAUGAAAGCAGAGAUGGGUUUUAGUAACCUAGUCCUCUGUUUCUUUCAGAGUCUCUGUGGGAAAGGCAGGCAGGCAAGCAAGGUGGAGCUGAAUUCCAAAGGCCUGGAGCUCUGUCUCUGCUGUGCUCCUUCUGUUUACUUAGUUUCUAACCUUUGACAAUGAUGCUCUUAACACCAGCAACAUCAGCAGUAGAAAUGACAACCACAGUCACCAUUUAUGAGUAUUCAGUGAGGCUGGAUAAUGCACGAAUGAAUGAAUGUUUAGCUGGGCUGGAUAUUGCACAAAUGAAUGUUUAGCUGGGCUGGAUAUUGCAUGAAUGAAUGAAUGUUUAGCUGGGCUAGAUAUUGCAUGAAUGAAUGAAUGUUUAGCUAGGCUGGAUAUUGCACAAAUGAAUGUUUAGCUGGACUGGACUUUCCAUGAUGUGCUUGACAACCACCCUUGUCUUUACUAACUUGUGCAGGUGACUUAAUUCUCUGCUGCAGCUUCUAAAUUUACAGAUUAUAAGUAUUAAUAGCAUCUAGUUUUGAUUGUCAAAUGAGUUAAUACCAGAAACAUGUUUAGAAUAUUCCUGGACGUAUUGUUACAAAUUCUUAUUAUUUCAUAUAAUUUUCAAAGCAAAAUUUUAAAACUAGUAGUUGUAAGUUUUCCCCCCAAUUUACAGAUAAACAUAUUGAGACUCAAAAAUAUUGGCUAACGUCUUUAAGACUGUAGAGCUAGGAAGAGACAGAAUCAGGGCUUAAACUUUCAAAUGUUUUGCUUUUUAGCUACUCCACCAUGCUGGUUCUCCCUCAGCUCCAGCUACACCACGUAAACCCCUUUGAUUAGUUUUCUGUUGAACCCAUCAGGGGUUUUCACAUGUCUUUUUCUUUUGCCCAUCUUGUUAUGCCUCUAUCUGAAUAGCUUUAUUAGCUUUGUCAAGCCAAUGACAUCAAAAUUACCCUGCAGGGCCUGCUCACUUGCCACUUCUCUCUCACCCCUCUUCUCCACCUUCACGGAGCUAAUUGCUCCUCUGUGUUGUUUUAACACUUAGCUCACCUGUCUCCCUUACAGCAUUUAUCACAUUGUCUCAUACCCUGUUGAUGUCUUCAGUGCGAGAUGAUGAGCUUCUUUGCAGCACAGAGUAAAGUUUAUUGAAAAUGUUAGACUCUCUGCCAGGGCCUCACAGGGAUGCGCUCACUGAAACUUCUCAACAGCUCUAGAAUUCGUACACCACUGUAAUCCUAUUUCUGUUGUUAAGGCAGAAUCUAACCUUAAAUGCAGGCAUAAUGAAUUGUUAUCACAUUAAAGUUAGGUUUCAGUAAACAAAUGUUUAGUAAAAAGGAUAGGAAAGUCAUUUUCAUGGGAGAAAAUCAACAUUAAGUUCAGCAUUUUUUUUUUUGAUGGAAGACAAAGGAACAAACUCUACUUCAUCUAUCUAAUUGUUUUUUCUUUUCUUAAGUCUGUAAAAAGAAGCAAAUGAUUAGCUGUGGCUAGUUCAAGCCCAGUUCUUAAUCCAUCUUUAACAUCUUUGGUAGUACAAUCCCUUGCCCAAGGUAUAAUGGAUACCUUACUCCCUCGUCUUGUGAUCUUGAGUACCCAUGUAAGUUAAAUGCUUCAAUAGUUUACUAUCUAUCCAAAAAUCUCAUAAAACAUGUCCUGAAUGACAAUAUCAGCUUUAAUAUUAGUGACAAGAAUCUAAUAUUUUCCACACUGUGUCCUUAGGCAUGAGAAGGAGCUGGCAGCUGGCUGUGAAGGCCGGGUGUGAACCCUUCAACCUCCAACUGACCUGUGGCUUCCUAGAGGUCUGUUUGUACAGCCACUUUAGGGAAACACAUUCUCCCGGGUUUCCUCUGGAGCAUCAGAGGAUCUGCUGCUUAAUCAACUUCCUGACUUGGGGAGAGGAAACUGACUUUAAAAGCCUUUUAACCCAAAGGGUUUGGACAGCUAAUGGACAAGAUCCUCUUGGCAAAAGGAGAUGAUGCAAAAGCUCCUUCCCUUGUUUAAAAACAAAGCUUUACUUAUGUAACGUUUUUAUAAAGUUAAAGGCUUUCGGUUUUACUAGUUAUUUUUGGAAUCUGUCACAUUGCAUCAUAAGGCAAACUAUUUGUCAGUCUGGCUAACCCCAAAUCUCCACUAUGUUUCUCCUCUUUUUUUAAAAAAACUAUUCUUUUAACUCACUUGCCAUUUACAAAUGGUGUCUUCAUUUUAAGCACCAUGCAGGCUUAAUUUCAUCUCAAUAUUGAGCAAUUCUUUAAUGCGAGGUAAAUAAAGUUUCUGAAGGUCUAGAAAAGGCACAAAAUCAAUGGCAUGUCUAUAAUUGAAUAGGACAAUAAAAUUUCAUUAGUGAACAGAUAAUAACUCAUAAUUUCUAUUCAAAAUAUUCAUAAAUUCUAUCACCAAAGAAAAAAAUAAUGUAUUUUUUGUCAUGAAAAAACAAAAUCACAAAACUUGGGAAUAUUAAAUAAUUCACACACUCAGAGAAUUUAUCUUGACUUUAGUAUCACUAGCCAGUGUUUGAAACAUGUCAUUAUUUAGCACCCAUUUUUCUUCUGAGUAUGGAAUUGAUGUAAGUUGGAAUUUUGAGUGUAAACAAGUUAUAGUCUAUGCUACCCAUGGAAUAAGAUAGAAUAAAAACUCAAAUUUGUCUAAUGUUGAGUGUGGAGAAGUAAGGAGUGGAGUUUGGGUUCUAUCUACAACUUCCCAGCAGUAAUCCCAGGUGCAGCACAGUUCAGCAGUUAAAUGACUUAGCUGAAAGGUGUAUAUAUGCAUAAUUAUGAAUAUAUUUCAUUGUACUUUUAAUAGAAACAACUGCUGGAGGUCAAACAUACUUUUCAACUAUAGAGCACUCAGGAGUUGUAUUUUUACCCCAAUAAGGAGCAGUAGACAUCUUAAAGGGGUGGAUCACUUUAAUAAUAAAGAUCCACCUCAUUUCAUAUAUUAUUUCUAUUUUUGUUGGCACCAGGAAAGAGCCCCUGACAAUAAUCACUAAGAUGCACAGGGACAAAUCUGUCAUUUGAUUGUACUUUACCAAGACAUUUUCAUGACACUUUGAGAGAAGCAUGACUCUAGCAGAAGAGACUCACCUCUAAGUCUCUUGAAGGAAUUGAAUUACCUCUUGUGGAAGUAAACAAUUAGGACACAGUGGGGGUGAGGAGACACUUGACAUGUAGGUUUCUCUGUGACUUUAUACAAACUGUUUAUAACAUGGGAACUAUUUUGAAAACACAGCAUGGUGAGGGUCCUGACACUUUCCUUAGAAUGUAGCAAAAACUGCCCCAUAGUUGAGGGUGUAUGAUAUAUAAAAGAUUCCAAGGCAAACCAGGAGAUAAGGCAUUAGAGAGACGGUAGAAGCAAACUUAAUUUGUAAUCAUUAAUUCCGACCUCACCCUAGGAGUAUUUAUUGUCUUAGCACCCACAACUCGCCGUUGUUAUUCCAUAUCUGUUGAUUCUUUCUCACUUGACUAAGCUCAAGAGGAGCUCCUUCUGUCAUGUGUUCUUCAGUCCCCACAGCGUGAAACCAGAACCUAGGAUGAAUUUACUGAACAAAUGAAUAAAUGAGCAAGCUACUCAGGUAAGCAUCCAUAGAAAUGUUGAUGAUUGGGAAAGUGGCCACAUCCAAGAGUUAACAACGACAAUCAGUUAAUUCUAUAGAGCAUGAUGGUGUUGAAAUUCAAUUAGCCAACAUCUGGAGAAGAUAGUCAAUUGAUUUUCCUAUUUACAAUUAAUGUUUUUCAACUGUAAUCAAUUUUGUUAUUCAAAUCAAGCCCAUGUAGAAAACCAGGCAAGCUACUCACCUCAGUCUGCCUUAGUUAAUAUCUGCAUGAGAUUCCACAGUCACAAGCAUAUAAAUCCACUGUGUAUAAAAGGAACCAGAUGACGAGUACAGGCAUAUCCACUGAAAAACACUACCACUAUGAUGGAAAACAAUGUAAAGACUGUUCAGCUCCAUAGUGUAAUUAGUCCAAGAGGAACCCAUUAUUUAUUGAUGGUGAGUCUUUCUCAAUGGGAAACUGGACUCUCCAUUGAGGAUGUAUUUUUAUGGAACGAAGAUUAGUAAAAAUUUCAAGUGGAAUUAAUUACCAACUGUUCUUUACUGACUAUUGAAAUGGUUGCCAAAAUAGAUAAUGUGUUUUGCUCAUAAAGACAAUGGAAAUGA